UGCGCAGGCGGGCUUGUAAGUCAGUGGUGAAAUUUUGCGGCUUAACCGUAAAACUGCCAUUGAUACUGCAAGUCUUGAAUAUGAUUGAGGUAGGCGGAAUGUGUUGUGUAGCGGUGAAAUGCAUAGAUAUGACACAGAACGCCGAUUGCGAAGGCAGCUUACUAAGCCAUGAUUGACGCUGAGGCACGAAAGCGUGGGGAGCGAACAGGAUUAGAUACCCUGGUAGUCC
rnacentral:rRNA from 1 species